CCAUAAGACGAUCUAGGCAGUGCAUUUUUUACUCAUAUCUCAGGUCAUUAUCCUUGAAAACUUGAGGGAUGACCUCAUUUUAAUCUCCAGUAGCAUUUGACCUGUAAUGGGAGGAAUUAUGCGUCUGGAUCGUCUUACU
rnacentral:sRNA from 1 species